rnacentral:rRNA from 1 species
CGAGCGAACAGACGAGGAGCUUGCUCCUCUGACGUUAGCGGCGGACGGGUGAGUAACACGUGGAUAACCUACCUAUAAGACUGGGAUAACUUCGGGAAACCGGAGCUAAUACCGGAUAAUAUAUUGAACCGCAUGGUUCAAUAGUGAAAGACGGUUUUGCUGUCACUUAUAGAUGGAUCCGCGCCGCAUUAGCUAGUUGGUAAGGUAACGGCUUACCAAGGCAACGAUGCGUAGCCGACCUGAGAGGGUGAUCAGCCACACUGGAACUGAGACACGGUCCAGACUCCUACGGGAGGCAGCAGUAGGGAAUCUUCCGCAAUGGGCGAAAGCCUGACGGAGCAACGCCGCGUGAGUGAUGAAGGUCUUCGGAUCGUAAAACUCUGUUAUUAGGGAAGAACAAAUGUGUAAGUAACUAUGCACGUCUUGACGGUACCUAAUCAGAAGGCCACGGCUAACUACGUGCCAGCAGCCGCGGUAAUACGUAGGUGGCAAGCGUUAUCCGGAAUUAUUGGGCGUAAAGCGCGCGUAGGCGGUUUUUUAAGUCUGAUGUGAAAGCCCACGGCUCAACCGUGGAGGGUCAUUGGAAACUGGAAAACUUGAGUGCAGAAGAGGAAAGUGGAAUUCCAUGUGUAGCGGUGAAAUGCGCAGAGAUAUGGAGGAACACCAGUGGCGAAGGCGACUUUCUGGUCUGUAACUGACGCUGAUGUGCGAAAG